CCUAGAGUUGUAGGCUUUGCCUGCUAUCUCUUACCCAUGUCUUUUGAGUACCUUUCGUUUCCUCGGCGGGUCCGCCCGCCGAUGUGGACAAUUUAUAACCAUUUGCAGUUGCAAUCAGCGUCUGAAAAAACUUAAUAGUUA
rnacentral:misc_RNA from 1 species